rnacentral:rRNA from 1 species
UACAGAGGGGGCAAGCGUUGUUCGGAAUUACUGGGCGUAAAGGGCGCGUAGGCGGCCUUCUAAGUCGAACGUGAAAUCCCCGGGCUCAACCCGGGAACUGCGUCCGAUACUGGAAGGCUUGAAUCCGGGAGAGGGAUGUGGAAUUCCAGGUGUAGCGGUGAAAUGCGUAGAUAUCUGGAGGAACACCGGUGGCGAAGGCGGCAUCCUGGACCGGUAUUGACGCUGAGGCGCGAAAGCUAGGGGAGCAAACGAGA